rnacentral:rRNA from 1 species
AGUGAACGCUGGCGGUAGGCCUAACACAUGCAAGUGGAACGGCAGCACAGUAAGAGCUUGCUCUUACGGGUGGCGAGUGGCGGACGGGUGAGGAAUACAUCGGAAUCUACUUUUUCGUGGGGGAUAACGUAGGGAAACUUACGCUAAUACCGCAUACGACCUACGGGUGAAAGCAGGGGAUCUUCGGACCUUGCGCGAUUGAAUGAGCCGAUGUCGGAUUAGCUAGUUGGCGGGGUAAAGGCCCACCAAGGCGACGAUCCGUAGCUGGUCUGAGAGGAUGAUCAGCCACACUGGAACUGAGACACGGUCCAGACUCCUACGGGAGGCAGCAGUGGGGAAUAUUGGACAAUGGGCGCAAGCCUGAUCCAGCCAUACCGCGUGGGUGAAGAAGGCCUUCGGGUUGUAAAGCCCUUUUGUUGGGAAAGAAAAGCAGCAGGUUAAUACCCCGCUGUUCUGACGGUACCCAAAGAAUAAGCACCGGCUAACUUCGUG